GACGAACGCUGGCGGCGUGCUUAACACAUGCGAGUCGUACGGUAAGGCCCUUUCGGGGGUACACGAGUGGCGAACGGGUGAGUAACACGUGAGUAACCUGCCCACAACUUUGGGAUAACGCUAGGAAACUGGUGCUAAUACUGGAUAUGUGCUCCUGCUGCAUGGUGGGGGUUGGAAAGCUCCGGCGGUUGUGGAUGGACUCGCGGCCUAUCAGCUUGUUGGUGGGGUAGUGGCCUACCAAGGCGGCGACGGGUAGCCGGCCUGAGAGGGUGACCGGCCACAUUGGGACUGAGAUACGGCCCAGACUCCUACGGGAGGCAGCAGUGGGGAAUAUUGCACAAUGGGCGCAAGCCUGAUGCAGCAACGCCGCGUGCGGGAUGACCGCCUUCGGGUUGUAAACCGCUUUCAGCAGGGACGAAGCUUUUUGUGACGGUACCUGCAGAAGAAGCACCGGCUAACUACGUG
rnacentral:rRNA from 1 species